GGGUGGGUUUCAGCUCCCACUUGUUUUUUUGGUCAGGUUCCCCAAGAAACAGACUCGGGAUUUGCAUGCAGGAGUCUUAUUGGGGAACGCUUUCAGGAACUACCACCCCGUAUGGGAGCGAGAGAAGCAGGACUGUGCAGAAGGAGAAGUUGAACAACUCCUGGAAAGCUCUGAAGCUGGGAUCAUCCUUCCAGAAUGUCUUGGAUUGAGACAAGGGUACUUUAAUCAGCAUUUAAUGACCCAGUCGAAAAUUCAUUGUUUGGACCCAAGCACUGGUGGGAAAGGCAGGAGGGGAGGCCUGCCUUCCUUCCUCCCUCCCGAGCCCUACAGCAGGCCAUGGAGUGGUGAGCGAGUUCGUACAGUGCCAACCACAUUCCCAGAAACUUCCAGCAGAGGUUAAUCCUGCUCCUCUCAGGAAAAAGUGAUUCAGCUCCGGUCCACCCUGGGUGCAGCGGUCCUUCUGCCAAGAUGCCUUCAUAUCAUACAGCUAUUAUUUUCGGGAGGAUUCCAAGUGAGGGCAGUCAGGGUAAGUGCCUCUCACCAGCUGCCUGCUCAGACCAUUGCUCCACAUACCCUAGCUCAUAAAUCCUGCCCCAACACUGCAGAGUGGUUACAUCAUCCCCAAACCUCAUGCAACAAUUCGAUUUGGAAAUAAAAAGGCAGGUGUUAAUUGA
ensembl:lncRNA ZNF503-AS1 ZNF503 antisense RNA 1